rnacentral:rRNA from 1 species
CGAUGGGCCGACGUCGCAUGCUCCCGGCCGCCAUGGUUAGAGUUUGAUCCUGGCUCAGAUUGAACGCUGGCGGCAGGCCUAACACAUGCAAGUCGAGCGGAUGACAGGAGCUUGCUCCUGAAUUCAGCGGCGGACGGGUGAGUAAUGCCUAGGAAUCUGCCUGGUAGUGGGGGACAACGUUUCGAAAGGAACGCUAAUACCGCAUACGUCCUACGGGAGAAAGCAGGGGACCUUCGGGCCUUGCGCUAUCAGAUGAGCCUAGGUCGGAUUAGCUAGUUGGUGAGGUAAUGGCUCACCAAGGCGACGAUCCGUAACUGGUCUGAGAGGAUGAUCAGUCACACUGGAACUGAGACACGGUCCAGACUCCUACGGGAGGCAGCAGUGGGGAAUAUUGGACAAUGGGCGAAAGCCUGAUCCAGCCAUGCCGCGUGUGUGAAGAAGGUCUUCGGAUUGUAAAGCACUUUAAGUUGGGAGGAAGGGCAUUAACCUAAUACGUUAGUGUUUUGACGUUACCGACAGAAUAAGCACCGGCUAACUCUGUGCCAGCAGCCGCGGUAAUACAGAGGGUGCAAGCGUUAAUCGGAAUUACUGGGCGUAAAGCGCGCGUAGGUGGUUUGUUAAGUUGGGAUGUGAAAAUCCCCGGGCUCAACCUGGGAACUGCAUUCAAAACUGACAAGCUAGAGUAUGGUAGAGGGGUUGGUGGAAUUUCUUGUGUAGCGGUGAAAAGCGUAAAAUAUAGGGAGGGACCCCCAGUGCCAAGGGGACCCCCCUGGACUGAUACUGGC